rnacentral:siRNA from 1 species
UCUAAUGCCCUUUUCUCAAUGCCC